rnacentral:rRNA from 1 species
UACGAAGGGGGCUAGCGUUGCUCGGAAUGACUGGGCGUAAAGGGCGCGUAGGCGGCUUACAUAGUCAGGCGUGAAAUUCCUGGGCUCAACCUGGGGGCUGCGUUUGAUACGUGUAGGCUUGAGUUCGGAAGAGGGUCGUGGAAUUCCCAGUGUAGAGGUGAAAUGCGCAGAUAUCAGGAGGAACACCGGUGGCGAAGGCGGGUCUCUGGGCCGAUACUGACGCUGAGGAGCGAAAGCGUGGGGAGCGAACAGG